rnacentral:pre_miRNA from 1 species
UAGGGUGACCAACCAUCUCAGUUUGCCCAGAGGUGAGAGUUUCCUAGGAUGCAGAAUUUCAGUGCUACAAGGGGUGGUUUUGGGCAAACUAGGAUGGUUGGUCACCCUAACACAAC